GAUGCAACGCGAAGAACCUUACCUGGUCUUGACAUCCACGGAAGUUUUCAGAGAUGAGAAUGCGCCUUCGGGAACCGUGAGACAGGUGCUGCAUGGCUGUCGUCAGCUCGUGUUGUGAAAUGUUGGGUUAAGUCCCGCAACGAGCGCAACCCUUAUCCUUUGUUGCCAGCGGUCCGGCCGGGAACUCAAAGGAGACUGCCAGUGAUAAACUGGAGGAAGGUGGGGAUGACGUCAAGUCAUCAUGGCCCUUACGACCAGGGCUACACACGUGCUACAAUGGCGCAUACAAAGAGAAGCGAUCUCGCGAGAGCAAGCGGACCUCAUAAAGUGCGUCGUAGUCCGGAUUGGAGUCUGCAACUCGACUCCAUGAAGUCGGAAUCGCUAGUAAUCGUGGAUCAGAAUGCCACGGUGAAUACGUUCCCGGGCCUUGUACACACCGCCCGUCACACCAUGGGAGUGGGUUGCAAAAGAAGUAGGUAGCUUAACCUU
rnacentral:rRNA from 1 species